rnacentral:rRNA from 5 species
AAAUUGUCAAAACUUUCAACAAUGGAUCUCUUGGUUCCGGCAUCGAUGAAGAACGCAGCGAAAUGCGAUAAGUAAUGUGAAUUGCAGAAUUCCGUGAAUCAUCGAAUCUUUGAACGCACAUUGCGCCCCCUGGCAUUC